rnacentral:rRNA from 1 species
GACGAACGCUGGCGGCGUGCUUAACAUAUGCAAGUCGACCGGUAAGGCCCUUCGGGGUACACGAGUGGCGAACGGGUGAGUAACACGUGGGUGAUCUGCCCUGCACUUCGGGAUAAGCCUGGGAAACUGGGUCUAAUACCGGAUAGGACCACUGGCUGCAUGGGGGGUGGUGGAAAGCUUUUGCGGUGUGGGAUGGGUCCGCGGCCUAUCAGCUUGUUGGUGGGGUGAUGGCCUACCGAGGCGACGACGGGUGGCCGUCCUGAGAGGGUGACCGGCCACACUGGGACUGAGAUACGGCCCAGUCUCCUACGGGAGGCAGCAGGGGGGAAUAUUGCACAAUGGGCGCAGGCCUGAUGCAGCGACGCCGCGUGAGGGAUGACGGCCUUCGGGUUGUAAACCUCUUUCAGCACCGACGAAGCGCAAGUGACGGUAGGUGCAGAAGAAGGACCGGCCAACUACUUGCCAGCCGCCGCCGUAA